rnacentral:lncRNA from 1 species
CACGUGCUAGCAUGUUCAUCUUGCAAACAUGAUCUAAUCCAAUUAGACCCUUGAUCAAUUCCCUUGUGUGUGACCCAUUGGGUUCCUUAUCUUAGCCAGCAGUAGGUGCAGGUGCAAGUUGACCUAACCUGAUUAGAAUACCUCUAAUCCAAUUUAGGUUCAAUUUAGUGCUAAACCUGACUUAGCAAUCAGAACCUUUCUGAUGCUUUGAUCUAA